ACGACCUUACUUGAACAAGAUCUGUUCCAUAGGCUCUUACCUAUGUAUCCAUGAUUUCUAUCAAGACAAAAACUCAUGUCUAGUUGAUGAAAUAGAUACAUGUAUCUAGAGUGUGAUUAACCGAGCCUUAUGGUCUUGACCAUGGCCCAGUAGAGGAUCUUUGUUUGUCUAUAAAUUAUGUUGGUGGUGGCCAAUACUGUAAUGUAUAUGUGUGUAUGUA